CAGUCGCCGCGGUAAUACGUAGGUCCCGAGCGUUGUCCGGAAUUACUGGGCGUAAAGCGUGCGCAGGCGGUUGUGUAAGACAGGUGUGAAAUCCCCGGGCUUAACCUGGGAACUGCGCUUGUGACUGCACAGCUAGAGUAUGGCAGAGGGGGGUGGAAUUCCACGUGUAGCAGUGAAAUGCGUAGAGAUGUGGAGGAACACCGAUGGCGAAGGCAGCCCCCUGGGCCAAUACUGACGCUCAUGCACGAAAGCGUGGGGAGCAAACAGGAUUAGAUACCCGCGUAGUCCCUGUCUCUUAUAA
rnacentral:rRNA from 1 species